CUGUUUUUGGUUCAAAUGUUAAACAUUAUUCAUUGAGAAUGUGGAAUUACUUUAGACAGCUUAAAACCUGCAGAUAUGUUUGGCUAUAAUUUGAACACAACAAUUAUUUAUAUUAACAUAUUUUCUCAGGUGUACAAAGCUUAGGAAAUGGCAUGUGAUAUCUUCUUAUGGAUACAUAUUUCAACAUUCCAUCACUUCUGUCAUUAUUAAUAAAAGGAAAUACGUGUCCUUUGCUUUGCCUCUGAUAUACAAAGUGAAUGUGGAAGGAUUUGCACUUAAAGUUUGGGCAGAUUUAUCUUCUAACCAUCUACCGGCAUAAAUUCAUAAAUACUACAGUUUUAUAUGUUUUUAACCUCUAUCCAAAUGAAACUUGAUGGCAUUUCUAUCACCAACACUUAAGGUACACACUGGAUUUAGAGACAACAAGAAAAAGAUGGAAUCACAAAAUUUAAGGAUUUUCCCAUUUGCAUUGAGAGAAGGCAGUUAUACAUAGUGGAGGAUUUCCCAGGAACCAGAGAUGCAAUCAUGAUUUAAAACCAGGUAACACUGUUAGCUCUUAACAUGUAGUUUGCCUAUAUUGUGAUUGGGUUGUUGGUUAGCCGAUAAGUAGAGAUGAAAGUAUGAAUAAUAACAGAGAAUAAUUGGGAUUGAAGACUUAGGAUUACUACACUGUAAACAGUCAGCCCUGUGUAUCACAAAGUAGAAUCACGAAAACGAAACUACAGGCAGUUAGAAAAAAGAUUAUAAGGUGGAAUCUUAGUAUAUUAGACCAUAGGGAGAAAACAACAAAAUUUAUAAGUUAAAAUCAAGACAUACUAGACGGUAGGCAUUGAAUAUCAAGAGUAGUAAGUACAACGUGG
rnacentral:lncRNA from 1 species